ensembl:lncRNA
CCGCAGUGUCAGAUUCAGCCUUGGGCCAAGUCAUGGGCCAAGCGAGGUCACUAGCCAUAGAACUGGUGCCAGCACACGGAACCCAACCCCCUUCCCCUCCCCACUUUCCUCAGAGGAGACUUUGGAAAAUGAGGAAGAGGAUGACAACCCAAGAAGAUAUUGUUCCGCGUCUGAGGACGGAGAUAGAGAGGAUUGGGAUAGACCCCGCUCAGACCCACUGAGGUCUGUGUUCGGACUGUCUCACAGCUUCAUCUUCAGUCAUGUUCACAGAGACUCCCACAGGUCCCUGAGUGAGGUCAUACUGCCAUCCAUCCAGAGGAGACCAAAGAAGAUGAGGCCUAUUAUUCUGUCUGCGGACACCAGGCUGAUCAUGGCCAUUGUGGAGAUCAUUAUCAAACAGAUCAAUGCCAGACUAGGCCAGCUCGCGCUGAAAGGAGGUGCCAGUCAGGGAGCCGAAGCUAGUUCAACGAGCAUCAGCUCAGCGAGCAGUCAAUUUGCUGAACAGAUGCUGCGGACAAUCACAACCACAAUGAAUGGCCAUACCAUGGGACAGAUGGUGCUCACUCGGCUGUCUGGAAAAUCCCCUCUGGACAUUGAGAGGAGGCUUGAGACCGAGUUAGGACCACUGGCAGGUCAGGUAAUUGUUGCAACCAUCAGCAGCAUCCAGACGGCGAAGAGCAACGCUCAGACAGGACAUGAGGUUCGGGUGUCCUCCCCUUUCACCUACUUCCUGUCAGCGGUGUCAGCCGAGGUGCAGAGUCUGGUGCUCCAGAGAUCAGGGACCAGGAUGUCAGCCAGACAGUCAGGCAGCGACCACCUGCUGAACCUGUCUCGGG